rnacentral:rRNA from 1 species
CCUACGGGUGGCAGCAGUAGGGAAUUUUCGGCAAUGGGCGAAAGCCUGACCGAGCAACGCCGCGUGAACGAAGAAGGUCUUCGGAUUGUAAAGUUCUGUUAUAGCGGAAGAAAGGUGUACGUCGGAAAUGGCGUACAAAUGACGGUACUCUGUGAGGCAGCCACGGCUAACUACGUGCCAGCAGCCGCGGUAAUACGUAGGUGGCGUGCGUGAUCCGGUAUUAUUGGGGGUAAAGAGGGAGCGGGCGGCCAGGGAGGUCUAUUGUUAAAAUGCAAGGGCUUAACCAUUGGAAGGCGAAGAAACCGGAAGGCUAGAGUUCUAAAGAGGAACGUGGAAUUCGAUGUGUAGCGGUGAAAUGCGUAGAUAUAAGGAGGAACACCAGUGGCGAAGGCGACGAGCUGGGAAGAAACAGACGCUGAGUCCCGAAAGCGUGGGGAGCAAAUAGGAUUAGAUACCCGGGUAGUC